GCCGCGCGCCGCGCGCCGUCGAGGUCCCCGCGUCGCCGCCCUCUGCCUUUCGUAACUCGGCGCGGGGUCUGGGUUUGCAGGGCUUUGAAAACGAGCCCCCGGCGCCUUGCGCCCUCUCUUCCGGCGCUCUGGCCGCAGAUUCGGGUAGCGCCGGCCACCGUGGACCAUUUUUCUUUUUUUCCUGCUUCGCGGCGUUCCAGGAUUUUCUCUUCCGGGUCGCUCUGAGGCACGGUCAGGGGUGCCAGCAUUCCUGGUUUGGCAUUGAACCCUCGGACUCUGCAAACACCUUUGAGGGGAAGCCCCCUUUUGCGCUUGCGCCGCGCCUCCCGCGGCCGGGAGCUAAGUCGGGCUGGCAGGGCCAGGUGGCACAUAAGCUCUGCCUCUGGGUUUCUAUUUGGCGUCAUCCGUGUGCAGAGGCGGCUGAGAUUUCGGCAACACAACAGCCUGGCCUUGACUGCAGCUCCAUCCCCAGCUCGAAUGGAGCUCUUACCCACCCCGACCCCAGCUACAGCAUCUGGUGGAUGGGAGGGGCUGGAAUCAUGCAAACUUGUGCAAGAAAACCAUCAUACAUCACAGCGCGUGUCCUCAUCUUUCAACAAACAUGUAAUAAACACAUCAACCUGUUUUGCCACUGAAACUCAAGAGCUCAGAACUGUCAACUACUGUGAAAUCUUCUACAGUCAAGAAUGGGACUCUGCUUUACUCUCUGAUUUUAAGUUAAGAACCACAUGCUUGGAAGCUAAGUAUGAUCACCUCACAGCUAGGGAAAACUCAGAACUUCAUGCUCAUUUCUUCUUUGAUUCUUUUUUCUUUCUUUUUUCUUUAUUUUAUUUAUUUAUUUAUUUUUUGGUCUUUUUGCCAUUUCUAGGGCCGCUCCCGUGGCAUACAGAGGUUCCCAGGCUAGGGGUCUCGAAUUGGAGCUGUAGCCACCGGCCUAUGCCAGAGCCAUGCAACGCAGGAUCCAGAGCCACGUCUGCAACCUACACCACAGCUCAUGGCAACGCCAGAUCCUUAACCCACUGAGCGAGGCCAGGGAUCAAACCUGCAACCUUAUGGUUCCUAAUCAGAUUCAUUAACCAUUGAGCCACGACGGGAAGUCCUGAUCCUUUUUUCUUAUAUUGACUGUCCUUCUGGAAUUAUUUUCCUUUCUCUGAAGUACUCCCUUAUAAUUUCCUUUAGGACAAGAUUUUUGACAGUAGACUCUCGGUUAUUGUUUAUUUCUAAAUGAUUUUACUACUUCAUGAAGGUGGUUUUUCUGGUUAAAAAAGUUUACAUUGACAAUUACUUUAUCUUCACACCUUGAAGAUAUUAUUCCACUGCCUUCUGGAUUCUGUUUUUGAGGUGGAAAAAUCUGCUGUCAUUUUUAUUGUCAUUCCUUGUUAGGUGAUCCAUCCUUUCUUUCUGGCUGCUUUAUCAACCUUACCUUUGUAUUUGUUGUUUUUCAACUUUAUUAUAAUGUCUAGCAUGAAUUUGUUUUUCUUUUUCCUACUCGGAAUAUCUUGGACUUCCUAGAUCUGUAGAAUUCAUAUUAUCUAUUAGCUAUAAUACAUUCCAAGACAUAAUAUUUUAAAACAAUGUCUAUCCUUAUUUUUUCAAUUCUAUCUUUGUGGGAAACUGAUAAAUGCAUGAUAAACCUAUCAUGUAUGGUCCAUAUCUUGUAACCUCUCUUUUAUAUUUCUCAUCUUUCUAUGUAAUGUGGCAAUUUUUUUGCAUAUAUCUUAUGUUUCAUUGAUUGUUUUUUCAGUUAUACCUAAUCUGGUUGUGUAACUCUACCCUUUGAUGUAAAAAAAAAUCAAGUUCUCUUUAUGCUGUGAUCUGAAUGUUUGUGCCCCCCUAAAACUCAUAUAUUGAAACCCUGAGUCCAAAAGAUGAUGGUAUGAGGAGGUGAGGGCUUUGGAAGGUGCUUGAGUCAUGAGGGUGAAGCCCUCAGAAAUGGGAUUAGCACUUUAUCAAAGAAGCUCCAGAGAGAUCCCUACUCCCUUUUGCCACUGGAGGAUAUGACAAGUCUGUGAUCUGGAAAUGGGUGCUCACCCAGUCAUGCUGGAACCCUAAUUUUGAAUUUCCCGCCUCCAGAACCAUGAGCAACAAAUUUCUGCUGUUUAUAAGCCAUUCAUUCUGUGAUAUUUUGUUGUCACAGCCUUAAUGGGCUAAGGCAGCUUGUUAACUUGUUUGUUUUCAAUCUGAACAGAUAAUACAUUCACAUGAAUACAAGUUCAAAAUGUACCAAACAUUAUCCAGGGAACUCUCUUCCAUGUUCCCCUACUCCCUUCCCAGCCCGCUGCCCUCCACUGCAGUCCUCUGAAUUGUCAUUUCCAAUGACUGACUCUUGGCCCACAUGUUGCUGCUUGAACCUCAGGGCCAUUCAGUGGGCCAGUCACACCUCCUGUCUCUAGGGCACCACCCUCCUCUGUGCUCCCGGGCACUCCCCAAUCCUCCCCAGCCUCCCUUGCUAGGUUCUUCUUUCAUCACUAAUGUUAGUAUUGAAGAAGACCGGGGCUCACUCCUUGACCUUAUUCUCUUUUCUAUCUACACUAUCUCAUCUCUUACUGCUGGUUAAUCUCAUCAAGUCCAUAGAUUUAGAUGCCGUCUAUAUAUUCACAAUAGUCAAGUUGGUAUUUCCUGCCUAAAUUCUUCAUCCAAACUUGAGACUUCACCUGCUUGACACUUCCACUUGGAUAUCUAGUAGACAUCUCAAAACGAACAGGUCGAGGCGUUUCCUUUAUAGCUCAGUGGUAACAAACCUGACCAGGAUCCAUGCAGACAGGGUUUCCAUGAUCUCUGGCCUCGUUCAGUGGGUUAAGGAUCCAGCAUUGCCAUGAGCUGUGGUGAAGGUCCCAGACGCAGCUCAGAUCUGGUGUGGCUGUGGCUGUGGUGUAGGCUGGCAGCUACAGCUCCGAUUAGACCCCUAGCCUGGGAACUUCCAUAUACCACAAGUGCAACCCUAAAAAAACAAAAUAAAAUAAACAAACAAAAAAACCUAACAGGUCAAAAACAAGACUGUCGAUUUUCUCUCUCACAAAUCUGAUCUAAUAUUCUUCUCUAUUUUAGGGGAAGGAAAUUGUAUCCUUCCUGAUUCCCUGGCUUUAAGACCCACAUGCUGCUGAAAUCUUGGAACUCUUCACCUUUGACAUUUUUGGCAGUCUGUUUGGCCUAGAAUGAUAUCAUUUUAUUUUAACUUUAUUUUUCUGACUACUUAUGAUUUUGAGCCCAUGUAUGAGCUGUCUUUGGUUCUCAUAUGUGUAUUGCCUAAUCAUUUCCUUAGCCCAUUUAUUUGUCUCUUGGGGUAUUCCUAUUUUUGUCCUGUACCAUUUUGUGUUAUGAUGUAGAGCUCAGCGCCUGAUCUCAGGGUGCACUAUUUUAAGUUUCUAAAGGACAAGAUUGUGGAAUUUACUAUGAAAACCAACAUUAAUUAUUUGGGGGAACAGAAAGGCAUCUUCAUUGUUUCCACUUACAUUAAAUCUUUAGUGGCCCAACUUCCCAAUUAUCCAAGACCAUCUGAGCCGUGUGCCAAAGGAGGUGCCUAUUUCCCACUUCUUAGCAUUUUUCUUAGAAUGUGAGUCAAGCAGACGGCUUUCAGACGUCCUGCUGACUGGGAUUCUGGCUCGUUCUCAUGUCCCAUUUCCUGCUCUUCUCCUGUUCUGAUUUCUAAGCAGGUGUCAACCCCAAAUCAGAAUAAUUAUAUGGAUCACAGAACUAAUGUCCUCAAUUCUGCUUUGUGACACUUGAAAUGGAAUAUUCUCGACUAAUAGUUUGAUGAGAAAAACAUCUGUUGGGUUUACAUUCCUACUGAUGCUGAAUGACUUGAAAACUUCUCUUGCAGCUUGUUGUCUGGAUUCUUAGGGGAUUAUCUUGGGAAUCACCUUCUAGCAUAGAUCCUUGCGCUCCACCUGGUAUAUGCUCAGAGGCAGUGUUUGCUGUCUCUCAACACAUAGUAUCUAAAUGCUGCCAAACCUCAGGACUCAAGAAAACAUCUGGAGGGCUUGGUGGGUUCUUAAGCAGUCAAUCAGAUGAGUUAAGGUAUUACAUUGAGAUGGCCCCAGUGAUUGAGUGCUGACUUAUUCGCAGGUGCAGGGGUGGAGUGGUGUAGAAAAACUAAAAUUAAGAAGAAGCUUGAUGGAGGAUAGUGUGAGAAAAAGAAUGGGUACAUGUAUGUGUGUGACUGGGUCACUUUGCUGUAUAGUAGAAAUUGACAGAACACUGUUAACUAACUAUAAUGGAAAAAAUAAAAA
rnacentral:lncRNA from 1 species